UACGGGGGGGGCAAGCGUUGUUCGGAAUUACUGGGCGUAAAGGGCCCGUAGGUGGCCAACUAAGUCAGACGUGAAAUCCCCAGGCUCAACUUGGGAACUGCGUCUGAUACUGGAUGGCUUGAAUUCGGGAGAGGGAUGCAGAAUUCCAGGUGUAGCGGUGAAAUGCGUAGAUAUCUGGAGGAAUACCGGUGGCGAAGGCGGCAUCCUGGACCGAGAUUGACACUGAUGAGCGAAAGCUAGGGGAGCAAACGGG
rnacentral:rRNA from 1 species